rnacentral:rRNA from 1 species
CUACGGGAAGAAACACAGGGAUGCCCUAGUAACGGCGAAGUGAAGCGGCAACAGCUCAAAUUUGAAAUCUGGCGCAAGCCCGAGUUGUAAUUUGUAGAGGAUGCUUCUGGGCAGCGGCCGGUCUAAGUUCCUUGGAACAGGACGUCAUAGAGGGUGAGAAUCCCGUAUGCGACCGGCUUGCACCCGUCACGUAGCUCCUUCGACGAGUCGAGUUGUUUGGGAAUGCAGCUCUAAAUGGGAGGUAAAUUUCUUCUAAGGCUAAAUACCGGCCAGAGACCGAUAGCGCACAAGUAGAGUGAUCGAAAGAUGAAAAGCACUUUGGAAAGAGAGUUAAAAAGCACGUGAAAUUGUUGAAAGGGAAGCUCACGCAACCAGACUUGUCGGCGGUGUUCCGCCGGUCUUCUGACCGGUCUACUCGCCGCCGGCAGGCCAGCAUCACUUGGGAGCGCCGGAUAAAGGCGUGCGGAAUGUAGCCCCUCGGGGCAUUAUAGCCGCGCGCACAAUACGGCGCCUCCCGAGUGAGGUCCGCGCUUUGGCUAGGAUGCUGGCGUAAUGGUUGCUUGAGGCCCGUCUUGAAACACGGACCAAGGAGUCUAACAUCUAUGCGAGUGUUCGGGUGUCAAACCCCUACGCGGAAUGAAAGUGAACGGAGGUGGGAACCGCACGGUGCACCAUCGACCGAUCCUGAUGUCUUCGGAUGGAUUUGAGUAAGAGCAUAGCUGUUGGGACCCGAAAGAUGGUGAACUAUGCCUGAAUAGGGUGAAGCCAGAGGAAACUCUGUGGAGGCUCGCAGCGGUUCUGACGUGCAAAUCGAUCGUCAAUUUGGGUAUAGGGGGCGAAAGACUAAUCGACCAUCUAGUAGCUGGUUCUGCGAGUCUCCCUCUCUCGAAAUGAAUCAGUUGUUCGUUAAGUCCUCGGCAUAUAACUAAUUUGACGAUGGAUUGCAGGUCCGAACCGCUUCGCUCCUGAGUUCCAUGCUCCUAGCAGCAGUAACCUUAGGUCAACUCUCUAAGUCAAACUGAGUGAUGGUACUGUGCAUUAUCCGCAAGCG